rnacentral:rRNA from 1 species
GAACGCUGGCGGCGUGCCUAAUACAUGCAAGUCGAGCGAACAGACGAGGAGCUUGCUCCUCUGACGUUAGCGGCGGACGGGUGAGUAACACGUGGAUAACCUACCUAUAAGACUGGGAUAACUUCGGGAAACCGGAGCUAAUACCGGAUAAUAUAUUGAACCGCAUGGUUCAAUAGUGAAAGACGGUUUUGCUGUCACUUAUAGAUGGAUCCGCGCCGCAUUAGCUAGUUGGUAAGGUAACGGCUUACCAAGGCGACGAUGCGUAGCCGACCUGAGAGGGUGAUCGGCCACACUGGAACUGAGACACGGUCCAGACUCCUACGGGAGGCAGCAGUAGGGAAUCUUCCGCAAUGGGCGAAAGCCUGACGGAGCAACGCCGCGUGAGUGAUGAAGGUCUUCGGAUCGUAAAACUCUGUUAUUAGGGAAGAACAAAUGUGUAAGUAACUAUGCACGUCUUGACGGUACCUAAUCAGAAAGCCACAGCUAACUACGUG